GUCACCAUCCCUGGAGGUAUUAACAGAUAUUUACAGGUAUUUAACAGGACACAGGACAUAUGUGAGAUCUGUGGACCAUGCAGAGGACUCUGGAGGGCAGCAAGGAAACCACCGUAAAAAUCACCACCCAGAAUCCAGAAUGUCAUGGCUUGUGUGCACCUGUUUACAGAAAAUGGUGAAAGACACAGAUUGCUUCACUUAUUGGACUACUGUGAAGUCCUUGCAUAUUCUGGCUUGAAAAUUUGUAUGAAACCAUCCAGAAAAAAGGUUUAGAUGUGACAGAUUUAUGUGGAAUUGAAAAGCAUGACAGAGAAAACUCAAGAAA